UUCUGAGGACGGACAGUGCCGGGCCCCACGCUGAGUCCUGUGGAUCCUCAGUCUCAGGGCUCCACCUGACCUCAGAAGGCUUCACACCCACGUGCCGCGCACAGCCAGCGCUGGGACGGUUGGGACACAUCGGAAGCAGGUGGAUUUCUGGGCGAUUCUGCUUCCACCAGCUGCCCCCUCUUCACCCUGCAACGCCCCCUCCACCCGCUACCCCCUCAAUCCAUCCUCCACACGGCAGCCUGGCGAACGUGGCCACAUCCCACCCUGCUCCAUGUGCGCUUGCCGAACAAACUGCUGUCCUUCCAUCCAGACGACGCUCAACGGGGCAGAAGGAUGGUGCUGGAGAGAGGAUACGACAGAACACCCGGAGAUUAAGGACUCACCAGUCCUACGAGUCUGUGGCCAAGCAGGGGCCAGUGCCCCGUCCCCUCACCCUGGCCAAGGUGGUCAACGGCCUUCCAGGCUUCCGGCUGACCGCCCACCACCUCCCUUCCCGCCCCUCCAGCCCCGGCGUGGCAUCCUCCGUGACGGCUGGGCUGGCUUCACUUGCAGAAGGCAGAUGGUACAAUUAGUGUGACUGUAAGACACCACGACCCGUGGGAGAGAAAACCUCAUGUGACAGGGCCCGCGGCUGAGUCUGUGGAGAGCAGGAGCCACGACCGGAGGAGGAGACGCCCCUCCGUCCUCUCCGGUGACUAAGCUUACGUGCAGCCCAAACACGCAGAGCGCCUUGGGGUCCCAGUGGCCAGGCGCAUCCCACCUCCAGCUCCAGAGGCGCGUUGGGGUCUCAGCCUCGUGCCGCAGUGAGCCUGCUGCUCCACGGGCAUCUGACGUGGAGAGAACGCAGCCGCUCAGAAAGCUUCACGUGGGCAAAAUCUGCUCACCUCCAGUCGCUGCUCCACUCGGUCAGAGCUGGGGGUCAACAAGCCCGGUAGACUUCCUUCUGUGCCACGGUCGGAUGUGACCGUGAACCUGGCCUUCCAGCUGGGAGACUUCCAAACCGCAGACAACCCGAGCCCCGUGUUCCUAUUUAACUCCACCCCCCCAAUCCCCACAACGGGAAACACCUCCACGCUGUCAGCGCAGGGUUAUCGUGAUCAGUGACCCCAGACCACCCCUCCCCUCCUCCCCCCUCCCACCGCUGGGGCUGGGCCAGUCUGCUCACCACGGAGCCGCGGCCGGCAUCCUGCAAAGACAAAGCCACUGAGGACGC
rnacentral:lncRNA from 1 species